UGGGGAAUUUUGGACAAUGGGCGCAAGCCUGAUCCAGCCAUGCCGCGUGCAGGAUGAAGGCCUUCGGGUUGUAAACUGCUUUUGUACGGAACGAAAAGGUGCCUUCUAAUAAAGGGCGCUCAUGACGGUACCGUAAGAAUAAGCACCGGCUAACUACGUGCCAGCAGCCGCGGUAAUACGUAGGGUGCGAGCGUUAAUCGGAAUUACUGGGCGUAAAGCGUGCGCAGGCGGUUUUGUAAGACAGAGGUGAAAUCCCCGGGCUUAACCUGGGAACUGCGUUUGUGACUGCAAGGCUGGAGUACGGCAGAGGGGGGUGGAAUUCCACGUGUAGCAGUGAAAUGCGUAGAGAUGUGGAGGAACACCGAUGGCGAAGGCAGCCCCCUGGGCCCGUACUGACGCUCAUGCACGAAAGCGUGGGGAGCAAACA
rnacentral:rRNA from 1 species